rnacentral:misc_RNA from 1 species
AACGCACAUUGCGCCCAUUGGUAUUCCGAUGGGCAUGCCUGUUCGAGCGUCAUUAUCCUCCCUCAAACCUCGCGUUUGGUGUUGGACCGCGUUGGUUCUCGGGGACCAACGGGUCUCAAAGACAAUGACGGCGUCCGUGGGACCCUCGGUGCAACGAGCUUUUCGGAGCACGCGUCGAGUCGAAAGGAACCCUCCGGGCCGGUCAGUCCAUAUCCUUUUUUUAGGUUGACCUCGGAUCAGGUAGGAAUACCCGCUGAACUUAA